rnacentral:lncRNA from 1 species
UUUUAUAAACUUUCCAAACAAAUAUUAUAUAACUUGCAUAAUCAAACAAAUAGAAGAACCAAUUAAGUAUUGUAACAGUGUCAUUUGAUAACAAAAAACAGACAUGAUCUUCUAAACUUGUAUAUUAAUUAUUGCCACUGCAUUAUAGUAUUAUAAUAACUGAGAUGUUGUGUUCUCAGUCAUCCCUUAGACUUGUUCAAUCUUAUCAAAUUGGCUGAAAUUACCCUUCUGUUUGAAGAUCUGAGUAUGGUGAUGUCUACAAUAAAGGCGAUGUUCAUGUGCCACAUAGUUUGAUGGACUGAUUAUACAACCUCCAUGUGUGCACCUGAAGCAAUUCUUAUGAUGAAAUGGCUACAGAAAGAAGUUCGAGGAAUACAAGGAGGAAGGGACAAAAAUAAGUGACAUCUUAUUUGUUGAUCUAAGUUGAGUCCCACGUCGGUUAAAGUAUAGAUGUGGGUGUGUUGACGAUGUUAUAAAUAAAGAGGAAUUACCGAGUGAAGCUUAUAUUCACUAAUUUCAAAAAAAAUGAAUGAUAUUUAUAGCAUUAUUUUAUAGCAAUAGUUUGGACAACUUUUUGGCGAGUUUUAGUAUGAUUGCCCCUUUUGUUUUAUUUGAUAUUAGUUGUACACCUUGCAUUUUUAUAUU